rnacentral:lncRNA from 1 species
GCGGGGCGGGCCUCCGGCGAGCCGCGCGCCCAGGCGGCCAGGCCUGAGGCUUGCCCCUUGGGGAGGGCCGAGGCCGCUGGACCCGUGGGGCACCGGCGGGAGAAGCAGGGCGGCACACGUUGCGCACCCCCGCCUGCCACACACCACCGCCCGGCCGGCGGCAGAGGCGCGAGCCCCGGGGCGGAACCCGAAGGGCCGACCCUCUCGCCAGCCAGCCGUGUCCAUGCCUCUUCUGGCGCGUUUUAGGCCCGGCCCGGGAGAGCCGGGCCUCCCCACGUCCUACUACAACCGGCAAGUGUUUCUGCGUUUUGUUCUUCCUCAAGACGUAUUACUUUUUGAAACUGCUUUAUUGGGGAAGAGUGAUUUACAGUGUCGCCCUAGCUUCGCGGGUUUACAGCAAAGUGAAUCAUACACCUACGUGGUCUUAGGACCUGUUGUCAGUGGUGCUCCCAAGCUCUGACCAGGAGACCCUCGUGCGUUCUGCUCGCUGAAAGUGGCAGAAAGCACCAAGUGCCCCCUAAGCCGGCUUGCAAGAAAAUGGCCUGAGAUAUCUACCCUCCUUUGCAGCCCUCCUACCCCCAACCGCACCCACUCAGAGCAGCUCCAGUCCAAUUGGUCUGUGACAGAAAAAGAGGCUCCCAAAGGGGCAGAAGGGGACUCCUGUUGCAGCCCCUCCUCCAGCUUCAGAAAGUCAAGAACAUUUUGGUUCCAGAGGCAAGAACCCCAACGAAAAUUCGCUGAUGCGGAAAAGGGGAAAGGGAACAUGCACAUAACAGAGAGGUCCAAUAUGUGUGGAUUUAAUGGCUCCGUGUUAUGAGAAGGCUUUAACGCCUCCGUCUUCCCGUGCGGCUACCAGGAUGACUGCGUAUGAGCUCCGUAUGCCGUCCCCGCAUCUUCACGGCUCACUCAGAUAUGAAAUCUCUGGAAGACACUGACCAGGGAGGCUCCAGUCAAUGCCAGCUGCUCAGCCGAUGCCUGGGAGUAAAGCUAAGUAUUAUGGUGGGCCCAGACCUAUACCAAGCUCGGUGGCCUGGGGUUUGGGCAUCUAUGAUGGGGAGCUUUAAUGGGAUGCCACAUCUUGAAGUACUUUCCCCGGAGACAAGGAUGUGGGCAGGCUGCCCCCCAAAUCAACAUGUCCUAUGGUUUCAGCACUGACAGUCCCCCACGCUUUCACUUGUUGUUGUUGUUGCCGUUCUCUCUUGUAUUAUUUUGUUCCACUUUGGAUGGAGCCAGGAUUCUAAACCCUUCUCCUCAUGCGCCCUUCUUUCCUGGAACUCGUUUAACUCAAAAUGUUCUGUCUUUCAGAUCCUAUCUACAAGUUCCCUAUGAGCAAGGAUGCAAUUCAUCUGCUUCUGGGAACUUGAGCGUGCUUGAAAUUACAGGAGGUCUCCUACUUCCCGAUUGGGAGCUUUGGAUUUUAAGUUCUUCGUUCGGUAAAGUAUAUUUCUGCAGACCAUGGACUCCUCUUGACGGAUAGCAUUGGUGGUAGGGUGAACUGGGAAGCCAAAUAACCCUUCAUUUGUCAGAAGAGGGUAAAAAAAAUAAUCCAUUCCUGAGUUGGCAACAACUAUCAUAGAUAACAACAACGCUAGCACCUGACAUCCUAUGUGGUGACUCUAAGAGUAGAGGCCAACCUCCGGAAAUAGAUGCGUUGUCCUUAGGGAGUUCUCCCCUUUGAGUUUCUCCCAAGUGGUGUUGCCUUGAAAAGGACAAGAGAGUAACGAGGGGAGAUUUGCUUGUCUGUUGCGGUACAGCAACUACCCCCACAUUUAGCAGCUUGAGCCAUCAGCAUCCAUUGGUUCAUGAUUUCGGUGGGUUCCCUGUCCAGGAAUGGAUUGGAUGGGUGACUGUGGCUCAGGGUUUGCAGGAGGUGGCAGUCAGGCCGUCCUCUAGGGCUGUCCUCUCAGGUUCCGCCAGAGGAAGACCUGCUUCCACACUCCCUCACGGUGGCGCGUGGUCCUCAGUUCCUCACCACGUGGACCUCUUCAUAGGCCCGAUGCCCUCACAGCACACCAGCGAGCUUCCGGCUCACAGGGCCGGCUGCCCCCCGGAGCAAGCCAUGCUGGGACAGAGUGAGAGAGCAAAGCAGAAAUGGAAGUCACCAUCUUUCCGUAACCGUGUGUCACAAAGCACAUCCCAGUACUUUUGGGCCUGGGGUAACCAUAGAAGCCAGUCCAGUCCGCAUUAAUGGAAAGGGAAAUCAGGUUCCCUCACUUGACAGGAGGAGUGUGCAGUAGUUUGGGGGCAUAUCUGUAAAACCAGGGCAGGAGGCUUUUGAGUUCCUUCAUGUGGAAUCACCCUAUGGGUCUGUGAUAAAAGUCGUUAGUCACAUUAUCGGCAUCCAAGAUUAUUUUUCCAAAAGUGAAGCUGUAGCCACAGUGAACCUUAGGAAAGAUUCAGAAAAGUCCCUUGAGCACCCACAUUCCUGGACGUGGACCUUGUCCCUCCGCUUGGUAUGGCCCUCACGACCCAGACAGCCCGCCUUAGCAGCCCGCGAAAGCUUAAGGUUUCCCCUUUAAGAGUCAUAACAAGACUCGGAGCAGCACAGCUCACUUCUGUCGGGGAAAGAUGGACUCUCCUAAAAGGAAAAGUGAAGAACAUGGGAUCUUGGGGACCCUGUGGAGAGGAGAUGACAUGGAGGGGGAAGAUGGAAUGUAGUUCUUGUCGGGGAACAUACUGACAAAGCCCUAAGACUGCUAAUCAAAUUCCAGUUAAAAUCUCUGUACACGCCGGCGUUCCCGUCGUGGCUCUGCAGUUAACGAAUCUGACUAACGUUCAUGGGGGCGCGGGUUCGACCCCGGCCUGGCUCAGUGGGUUGAGAAUCCAGCGUUGCUGUGGCUGUGGUGUAGGCCGGCAG